rnacentral:lncRNA from 1 species
GUGAUCUAAGGCAACAGGAGCUGCCUCUGGUGUUUAUCGACUGUUUCUAGCUGGAGGCACAGAAAUACACAGGCACUAAAGGGUGAGUUACUGUUGGUUGCUGCUCUCUGGACCAGCAGGGACUUGGCAAGCUCUUGGAGGACAGAGUGUCUUGCAUCAAUCAGUAGUGACCCCUCUGGCUGAAUAUGUACAGGCAUAAAGAGGCUCCUAAAUUAGCCUCUGUUCUCCUUCGCAGGAUGGAUGGAGGAUGAAAAGCAGAAUCUGGAACAGGAGGAAACAUGUGUAACAGAGCAUUGAGCUGUACUCUGAAAAAUCCAGCCAACCCUUUCUGCUCAAAACCAAUCUUAGAUGUCUCCCAUUUAUGAGGGCCUAUUAAAAAAAAUAUAUAUAUAUAUAGUUGAUGUGUAGGAAGUGAGAAAGGGAAUGGAAGAAAUGAGAAGAGGAGAAUAGACAGCAAAAAAUAAAAUGUGCAACUACUUGCUUGGGGAGGACAUUGAAUCUUGCUCCAGAUGGGUCUGUUAUAUAACCACAACCAGGAAUAUGGAGUUAUCCCAGAGCUGACUGGGCCAGAAAACAUGGAUAACACAAUGCAAAUCUGACCCUAUUGCUGCCGGAGUGAAUCCAGAAGCCCUAAUAUACCCUGAUCAUGCACAGACAGAGAGAAGGUUGAACAAAAACUGUAUGAAACCUGUGCAAAGGGAAAUAACUGAAUCUUCAACACUGAAAGGCUAAGAGGUCUUCCUCCAGUUAUUAAAGGAGUGAAAAUUGUUGAACUCUAUAGGCAUUUAAUUUGUCAUUAAGUUCAGUAGUACUACAGUGCUGGAGGUGCCUGGAGAGAGUGGAAGAUCUGCCCACCACAGCCUGUCUCAGGCCUGCUGGUGACCAUCCAUGCAUAUCACCACCCAGAAGCUCCUCAUUCUUACCUGUCAGGCAGACAGGACCUCCCAUUGCCUCCUCUACAUUCCUGUCCUUUUUUGAAGCAUUAUGGUCCUUGUGUGAAGCUGGGAAUGGGGAAGUUCAAGAGACCACCUGCAAAAAGGACUGUGCAAAGCAUCUUCUCAAUAACCUUGCCAACUCCCUGCAGCUGCCACAGGUCACCAAGUUAUCUGAGGGGUUUGGUCCCCAGACCUUCCUAACCCAUCCACAAGACUCAGCCCAG